CGCGGCCAUAUCACGGUGAAACACUAAUUCACCUCCGAUCAAAAAUGUUAAGCAACGUCGCACUUGGUCAGUACCUAAAUGGGUGACCGCUUGGGAAUACCAGAUGCUGUCU